rnacentral:lncRNA from 1 species
CUCAAUAAUUUACAAAAUGAUGCAGCAGGAAAAUAAUGUGCUGGUGGUCAGUAAUCAAAAAGCCAAGAUUUUCAUCAUAGGGCUAGAAAGUUCCAAGAUUUACUAUCAUGGCUCAAGGUCAACUGAUUAUGGAAAACAUAUACAACUGCAACAGGACAAAAUAAAAAUAUACACAGAUUAGAACAUGCUAAGCAAUACUCCGAUAAUUACGAUAUGCUUAGGGUAUGGAUCAUGGGUUGGUAAAACGUAGGCAUCACAUCACACCAGACUGACUAUACCAACUUCCAAAAGUCCAUGCUGCCUCUGCCGGCAACAAAGUCAACAAGAAAGGGACAACCAUACAGAUCUGAGGUAUGAGCUUGUUCCUCAGCAAUCUCAUGCAAUAACCUUAACAGCUUCAAGCAGCAACAUGCAUUGUCCAGGAUAUCCAGGCUGGACAUGAUCAAAUGAAAGUUUUUGCAAUAAAUCAGUCAUACUUGAGAGAGAUCAGGGCAGCAUGAGGUAUCAGGUGAAAAUUCUAUGCUACUGAAGUUCCACCCUCAGCCCUCCCAAGUUGUUUUUUUCCAGCAUCUCAGUAUGAUGCCUCAUCAAACCUGCAAAGACCACCAAUGAUAAUAAUCAUCUUGUUCCUCAUUAGGGAUUCAGACAAUAUUAACUUGCAAUAUGAACUAAUUGAUCAAUUCUCAUAUGCACCUUACAAACA